rnacentral:rRNA from 1 species
AACGAACGCUGGCGGCGUGGAUAAGACAUGCAAGUCGAACGGGAAUUCGUUUAUAGCAAUAUGGAUGGAUUCUAGUGGCGAAAGGGUGCGUAACACGUGGCUACCUACCUCGAAGUUGGGGAUAGCUCGGCGAAAGCCGGAUUAAUACCGAAUGUGAUCGUAAGAUCAAAGCUGGGGAUCGUAAGACCUGGCGCUUUGAGAUGGGGCUGCGGCCUAUCGGGUAGUUGGCGGGGAAUGGCCCACCAAGCCUAAGACGGGUAGCUGGUCUGAGAGGACGACCAGCCACACUGGAACUGAGACACGGUCCAGACACCUACGGGUGGCAGCAGUCGAGGAUUUUUCNCAAUGGGGGAAACCCUGAAGGAGCGACGCCGCGUGAGGGAUGAAGGUCUUCGGAUUGUAAACCCUNUGUCAUCUGGGAACAAUGCGAGUCACCUAACACGUGCCUCGUUGAUAGUACCGGAAGAGGAAGCAGUGGCUAACUCUGUGCCAGCAGCCGC